ensembl:lncRNA
CCGGUGGGGGGGGUCGGGAUCAAGGUGGUCCUCGGCACUGACACAUCAUCUGCCGGCCCAAUACACAGCUGGCUGCGGCCGCGGGCCUGUGGCCUUUACCUAAGGCGCCCUGUGCUCUUUAGCUGUGAGAAACUUGUUGGCGCGGCAUUCAGCUGGUGGCCUUCAAUCCUCAAAGUGCUGUUCUCUCAAUCAAAACCUGGCCGGUGGUCAACAUAAGGCCCUUUACCAUGACAAGAGAGAAGUAUUGAAUCUGCAACGCCGUGGAUACAGUCAACAUGAAGCAUAUCGGAUGGCAUUCCUCGCCAACAUUCCUCUCAAUAUCAAAAGGUUUCCCAACGUUCUCAGGAGGAUAAUUCUCCCAGAGCCCCCCCCACCACACUCU